UGGGGAAUUUUGGACAAUGGGGGAAACCCUGAUCCAGCCAUCCCGCGUGUGCGAUGAAGGCCUUCGGGUUGUAAAGCACUUUUGGCAGGAAAGAAACGUCGCGGGUUAAUACCCCGCGAAACUGACGGUACCUGCAGAAUAAGCACCGGCUAACUACGUGCCAGCAGCCGCGGUAAUACGUAGGGUGCAAGCGUUAAUCGGAAUUACUGGGCGUAAAGCGUGCGCAGGCGGUUCGGAAAGAAAGAUGUGAAAUCCCAGAGCUUAACUUUGGAACUGCAUUUUUGAACUACCGGGCUAGAGUGUGUCAGAGGGAGGUGGAAUUCCGCGUGUAGCAGUGAAAUGCGUAGAUAUGCGGAGGAACACCGAUGGCGAAGGCAGCCUCCUGGGAUAACACUGACGCUCAUGCACGAAAGCGUGGGGAGCAAACAGGAUUAGAUACCCUGGUAGUCCACGCCCUAAAACGAUGUCAACUAGCUGUUGGGGGCCUUUCGGGCCUUGGUAGCGCAGCUAACGCGUGAAGUUGACCGCCUGGGGAGUACGGUCGCAAGAUUAAAA
rnacentral:rRNA from 1 species